GGCGCGAUGUUGCUGUUGCUGCUUGCCGGAAGCGUGGAAUCGGUAAAGUAGGGGAAAGCAAUGUAGUUAAUGUGGACUGGGAGGUUUCAUAAACGACUGGCGUACAAUUGUAGAUCUGAAUUUCAAGCUUCAGGUCCUGGUAGCAAAUCGGAAAAGGGCUGCGGACCGUGAGUCACCGUCGCUCUCUUUCUUGGGGACGAUGGAUGAGAGUUGAUUUGAUAGAGGUUACAAGAUGAUGAGAGGCAUAGAUGGAGUGAAAGCCAAAGACUUUUUCCCAGGGCGGAAAUUACUAUUUCGAGGGGGCAUAAUUUUAAGGCGAUUGGAGGAAGUCGUGAGAUGUCAGAGCAAAUUGCUGCAGUUGCUGGAAUCUCUCUGGAAAACGACAAAUGCUGGUGAUCAAGACAAGUCAUGGAGAGAGAGUUGAUUCACGGUUAGAGAAUUCAAACAAUGCCACAUCCAGAUCUGACAGUCACUCUGUUUCUCAAACUAUAAAUAUCUCAGGAUUUUGGACCAUAAAGGAAAAAGCACCAGUCACACAGAGGAGAAAGAGCUUAUCUGUAUGUGGAGGGAAGUUUUUGUGAAGAUUUAUCUGAAAUGUCAAAACACUGGUGCAGUCUGAACAGAGAGACUGAUGAAAUGCAGGGAUUAUGGGAAGGCAUUACUUUAACCUUCCCAAAUUCAUCAGCGCCAUCACACUGGAGAGAGACCAUUCACCUGCUCUGAUUGUGGGAAGGGAUUCACUGCAUCAUCCAACCCACUGAAACACCAGCAAAUUCACACUGGGAAGAAAUUAUUCACUAGUUCUGAAUAUGGGAAAGGAUUCACUCGCUCAUCUAAACUGCUGACACACCAACAAGUUCACACUGGAGAGAGAGCAUUUGCCUGCUCCAAUUGUGAGAAAGCCUUCAUUCACUUAUCCCACCUGUUGAUACAGCACCAUGUUCACACUGGGGAGAAACCGUUCACCUGCUCCCAGCAUGGGAAGAGAUUCACUUUGUCACCUAAACCGGUGAAACACCAACAGGUUUACACUGGAGUGAAAUCAUUUACAUGCUCUGAUUGUGGGAAACGAUUCAGUCAGUCAUCCAGCAUACUGAGACACCAACGAGUUCACGCUGGGGAGAAACUGAGCUGACUGUGGGAAGGGAUUUAUGAAGUCAAACCAUUUGCUGAAACACCAGCAAAUUCACACUAGAGAAAGAUUAUUCACCUGCGAUGUAUGUUGAAAGAGAUUCACUCUGUCAAACUGUUAACACCAGUUAAUUUAUUCUGGAUUGAUACUGUUCACCUGCAUUUUGUGAAAAAGGCCCUGCUGUUUGCUAACACCAGCGAAUUCACAAAGAAGCACUCUUGAAGAAUUUCACUCUUACUCACACCAUGUAAUGAAAUGUAGUCAUUUGUACUAAUGUUAUUAAAUUCUGCUGUAUUAAGUGCUUAGAUUAAAUGUAUUAAAUUAAUGUAGAUUAAAAAGUAAAUAUAACUGUGUAUCUGCAGGGCACAUUUUGGAAUUGAUCAUAACAUUGUUGUACUUCCAGUUCAUGCUGAGUAAAGAUUCUCUGACUGCA